rnacentral:rRNA from 1 species
AGUGAACGCUGGCGGUAGGCCUAACACAUGCAAGUCGAACGGCAGCACAGUAAGAGCUUGCUCUUACGGGUGGCGAGUGGCGGACGGGUGAGGAAUACAUCGGAAUCUACUUUUUCGUGGGGGAUAACGUAGGGAAACUUACGCUACUACCGCAUACGACCUACGGGUGAAAGCAGGGGAUCUUCGGACCUUGCGCGAUUGAAUGAGCCGAUGUCGGAUUAGCUAGUUGGCGGGGUAAAGGCCCACCAAGGCGACGAUCCGUAGCUGGUCUGAGAGGAUGAUCAGCCACACUGGAACUGAGAAACGGUCCAGACUCCUACGGGAGGCAGCAGUGGGGAAUAUUGGACAAUGGGCGCAAGCCUGAUCCAGCCAUACCGCGUGGGUGAAGAAGGCCUUCGGGUUGUAAAGCCCUUUUGUUGGGAAAGAAAAGCAGCAGGUUAAUACCCCGCUGUUCUGACGGUACCCAAAGAAUAAGCACCGGCUAACUUCGUG